rnacentral:rRNA from 1 species
GACGAACGCUGGCGGCGUGCCUGACACAUGCAAGUCGGACGGUUCUUGCACCUUCAAGCUUGCUUGCUGGUGCAGGGAUAGUGGCGGACGGGUGAGUAACGCGUGAACAUCUACCCAUUGGAGGGGGACAACCCGUCGAAAGGCGGGCUAAUACCGCGUAAGCCGUGAGGUGAGAGGCUGCCUAUUGGUGGCCGCCGAUGGAUGGGUUCGCGUCCUAUCAGCUGGUUGGUGGGGUAACGGCCUACCAAGGCGAAGACGGGUAGCCGGUCUGAGAGGAUGGCCGGCCACACUGGAACUGAGACACGGUCCAGACUCCUACGGGAGGCAGCAGUGGGGAAUAUUGGGCAAUGGGGGUAACCCUGACCCAGCGACGCCGCGUGAGGGACGAAGGUUUUCGGAUCGUAAACCUCUGUUGUACGGGAAGAAGGAAUUGACGGUACCGUACGAGAAAGCCCCGGCAAACUACGUGCCAGCAGCCGCGGUAAGCUAGUCUACG